rnacentral:lncRNA from 1 species
UGUCUUGUUAGUUCCUUCUUUUAAACACAACUUGAUUUCUGUCCACAAGUUAGUGAAACAGUUGCAUUGCAUAGUUUUGUUCACUGCAACUUGCUGCUUUCUCCACAUGAUACAGGACCCUUUUCUGAGGAAGCCUCUGGAUCUUGGUAGAGAGGAAGCUGGUCUAUACAAGCUUGCUUGGGCUCCAGCUUCCCCUUCUUGCUCUACUGGUUGUUCAUCUGCUUUUGUAUACUCUAAAUCUGACUCUUGUAAUCAUGACAAUUCUUCUUUUACUGGUUGCCAUAAAGAUGUUGCUUUACCUUCCAAUGUAAAUAGCCUUUUCUGAGGAAGCCUCUGGAUCUUGGUAGAGAGGAAGCUGGUCUAUACAAGCUUGCUUGGGCUCCAGCUUCCCCUUCUUGCUCUACUGGUUGUUCAUCUACUUUUUUAUACUCUAAUUCUGACUCUUGUAAUCAUAACAAUUCUUCUUUUACUGGUUGCCAUAAAGAUGUUGCUUUACCUUCCAAUGUAACUAGUUCCAUCUGUAAUAAUGUUGUUACAACUGACAUGAAUUACAUUUGGCAUUUGAGACUUGCUCAUACUUCAUUUUCAAACAUGAACACAUUUCUGGAUUGUCUUUUCCUUUUGCUUCUAAGCAGUCUUUCCCUUGUUC